ACACUGAACCCAGACUUCUGCUGAAAGCAGGCGCUGUUCCGACCGUGUUUCCUCAUAGCAAGCAGCCAGCGAGAAGAGGGCGCAAGAGGAAGGCGAUAUCCGCGCUUGAAGAACAACAGGCAAGCUCGCUUCGAGCAGGGGGAGCUGAGGCCACAGGAGGGAGCAAGAGGAAGAGGAGACCUGCCAGCAGAGCUGCUGCUUCCCUGCAGACCAGGAAAUCUAAAGGCAAAAGAGUCCAGAAAAGGAAGAGGCGUGGGAGAAAUGUAAUUGACCCAGAUUCAGUGCACUGUCCAUCAUUGGCGUCCUCUUCCAGCCUGUUGUUGGGAAAUCACUCUGAUAGCCAGCUGGCUGAUACCCAGUAAUCUCCGUAAAUAUUCCGUAUGAAGACGAAGAGCCCACGGGCCCUGGCUGGGCUUGGGCUGGGCUGCGCACCCGCUCGGCUGGUGGGUGAUGGGAUUGAGUGCUCGGUCACAUGACCUUUCAGGGGUGAACUACACUUCAUGACUCCUCUGGCAGAGCUGCCUGCUUUUACGUUUCUCAUCGAUGGAGAUAACUACCCGACUGUAAAAUCACUGGGCAUCUCUUCAGCCUUACUCAGGGUCGAUUACUGGGGUAGAAAACAUCUAACAAGAAAUAUUGAGAUCUGUAGAUUUGAAAGGCACUUGUGUCUGAUGUUUAGAGAGGAUGUUUUGUUUAAUGACUUGGAAACUAAGCAAGUGAAUAUUUACUUUCUUUUUUCAAUUUUAGGCUUGUAAAUCAGGCAUGCAGAGGUCACUGGCUCUGUGCCAUCCCUCAGAAAGAGUACAGCCAGUUUCUCAUGUAUAACAUUUAAGCACCGGCUUCUUAAACAGCUUAACAACUGUAAGUCUUGACAAAGACCCACAGUAUUUACUCAUUUCUUUCAUGAAAAUAAUUGGGAAUUAAAUCAUCUUUUGAUGAUGGCUUAGGUGACACAAACUUGCGUCCCGUUCUAAUGUUGUGUUUUUUGUUUUACAAGACUAGAGACAAAACAGCAGUUUCCGUGUCCAGAGAGACGCUCAGAUUCUAUGCAGACGCAUCGAGCCAGAUGCCCAGUCAGCCCCUGCAGCAGGAACCCGAGCCGGCGGAGCCGUCCUGGCUGUUCGAGGGAGUCGUGGGCCGGACGUGGGAGGGUGCCGGCGCAGGUGUCCGGCCCGCCCUGGACUCGCGGAGCAGCGUGGCCGGCUCCCGGUCCGUCCCCCGGGAGAGCGGCGUCAAGCAGGAGGGGCCCGGAGAUCAGCGGGACCUGGAGCUGCGGCGCUGGCCGUCCGAGUGCGUGAAGGAGGAGGAAGAGGAGUGUCCGCUGGGAAUACCCGGACUGCCGAAGCCGGAGCCUGUGGAGACGGCGGAGCUUCCUGGGAGCAGCCCGCCGGCCGGGAUUCUCCCGGUCCUCGUGAAGACGGAAGCACCGGACGUCGGGCCCGCGCUCCCGAGCCUCAAGCCGGAGAGGAGCAGCCCUCCCCACGCCCGCUCGGAGUGUCGGCUGCAGACGUGCCCCGAAUCCGCCCGGGAUACGCGGGAGAGCUGGUCUGGUCCAGCUGAGCGGCCGGAUCUCGGAUCCCAGCUUCCGGAUAUUAAAGAGGAGAAUCCGGGCUGGAGGCUCCCGCUGGAGAGCGCCCUUGUCCCAGCGGAGGACAGGAGGGACAGCCGGCCCGCGCGCCUCCUCUCGCCCCUCUCGCCCGCGCAGGCCAUCCUGGUCCGGCUCCCACCCACGGGCACCGCCCGCGCCCCAGUCCAGCUGCUCCUGCUGCCCGCGCUGAUCCGUGGGGUCCCGGGAGAGCAGCCCAGCUCGGCGUCCAGGCCCGCCAUGUCCAGUCCGGGCUCGGGUGUGUCCACGCCCGUCUUGAAUCCCGUGCCGACUGCGGUGUCCAGUCUGGUGUCCAGGCCCAUGUCCAGCCCGGUGCCGACCGCGGUGUCCAGUACGGUACCAACCACAGUGUGCAGUCCGAUGUUGACCGCUGUGUCCAAGCCCAUGUCCAGCUCGGUGUCCAGCUCGGUGCCCAGGCCCGUGUCCAGCUCGGUGUCCAGCUCCGGCCUGGCGCUGCUGCCGGUGCGAGAGGCUCUUCCAGCAGGAGUGGAAACUGCUCCGGCACCAGGCCGCCCGCCGCAGCCGCCCGUCCUGCCCCCGGCCCCCCCGCCCCAGUGAGCGUCCGCUGCAGGCCCUGCGCGCCGCCAGGGGGCUCCUGGGAUACGCGCUGGCCUCAUGCGGAUCUGUUGUUACUCCUGCCUCUCCGUACCGGCUGAACUGGACGUGUGUGUGCAGGCACAGGUGUGCGUGUUGAGCCUUUUCGGAGGCUCAUUCUUCUAGGCUGGGAACUUUUCCUGCUGUUUUUCAACAAAGCAGCCGCCAGGCAGCCGGAAUCUGAGGUCAAACAGUACGGACUCUCGGCAGGCGUUCCCCUAGCACAGCACGCGAGAGGGCGGGGCAGCGGAGCUCCUCGUACGUGUACGGGGUGUUAAACCCCUCCGCCGUCUCGGAUUGUGUCACGUCAAGAUGUUUUUGGGGAAAUAAAGAUGUGAAGAAUUUGAAAGGGCUGAAGGUGUAGUGUUGUGUGUAGCAGUAGCUGGGGACAUUUUCACACCUUUCCCCACAGGGGGUGAGAGGUAAAAGGGAAAGAGCAAGCGAACAGAGAGACGGAUCUGCUGGGAGAACCGAGGGUGAGAAACGCACGAAGCCCCGCUCAACAUGGCCGCUGACUGAACCGCUUCCGUUUCCGGGGGCACGCAGCGCAAGCGCCAUUUCGUGGCACCGCGGUGACGACAGUGCUGCGCGUCGCAUGGCGUCAUAGGGACGCGACGCAAGGCUGCCAAUUAGAAGUGAGGGUAAGAGUGUCCCAUCUUUCCCAAUACUUGUUUAUGUCCGGAAGACUGCGAGAGAGCAUCUAACGGGACUUUGUUGUUCACUUUUUUUUUAAAAAGGGAAAGCGUUGCUAUGUUAAAAAAACCAAAUAACUUGACUUAUUAAAUAGUCCGAGUGGGGCGGACCGCAGUUCUGUUCCGUGGAAGACGGCCCGAAUUCUGCUGAGCCUCCGGAGGCGACACGUCCGGACCGGGUCGCGCUUGGCGUCUGGAAGGUGGCGGAGCUGUUUUCUCCGAGCCCGAGCAGGCCGCGGGGUUGGGCACCAGCUGACGCCCGGAGUACCAUGAGCGCCAGGCGGCUGGGCUGGGUGCUGGGGGCGCCGGGGGGGAGCGGCGCCGGGGCCUUCGGCGCCGGCAGGAGGAAGCCCAGCCUGGGCUCCGGGCUCAGGGGCGACCGCGCCGAGGACACGAAAGCCGGCGGCGACAGCGGUCUCGCCCUGCCCUACCUGAAGGAGCGCCUCGCCCCCACCAUCCACAGCACGCUGGCCGCCGCCGUGGACACGCUGCUGGGCGAGGUGGCGCGGGUGGUGGGCGACAGGCUGGCCCAGGCGCAGCUGGAGGCGGCCAGCAGGGACCGGGAGAACGAGAGCCUGCGGGUGCGGCUGGAGGUGUCGGAGGCCGAGCUCAAGGCGCUGCGGGAGUGCGUCAGUAGCGCCCAGAGGUUCAUCGACCAGCUGCCCUUCCCCGGGCCCGGCCCGGAGCAGCCGGCCCUGGAGCCCAGCGGCGGGGGGGGGGAGGACUGCAGCCGCUUCUUCGGCGAGCGGGACGCCGGGCCCAGUCCGGCCGGCCUCUCAGCCGCGCUGCCCGGCUGCGCUUCCGACCUGGACGGCGCCCUGGGGGCCCAGCUGCCCGAGUUCGGCUCCGGCGACGAGCUGAAGGAGUGCCGCCUCUCCAUCCAGCCGGACGGCACAGUGACCAACCACGACCUGCUGGACGGCUUCGCCAAUCACACGCCGAUGCAGAGCCCCUGGUCUGACAUGUCCAUGCAAGGUACAGUCUGAUCCGCUCCAGGUGUGACAGUGCUGUCAGUCAGACUCCCAGUG
ensembl:lincRNA